rnacentral:lncRNA from 1 species
GAUUUGCCUAGUUAAAUAAAGAGGGAGGGCCAAUCAUAGAAGGCAUCGCUGGAGGUUGCUUAUCAGACAUGACUGCACCCUGGACAGGAGCCCGUUUUAUAAAGGUCACUGGCCACUCAAUAACUAUUCUGGAGGGGUCAUCGACUGAAUACAUUGCGGUACAACAGCAGAACCGUUUUAUGUUGGAGGACGAGCAUUAUGAUGAGGAGACCAUCUCGGCGUCUUCCGAGAGGCCUUUUGAGAUGUGCAACUCUGCUGGACUUUACACUGCUGGACCCCCUAACUCUACUGGACCUUGCACUGCUGGACCCCCUAACUUUGCUUUGUAUAGCAAUCAAAGUGAAACCGUGUAGGGUUACUUUUGCUAAAUAUGGGUUGAGAAAAUUGACCAGAUACAUGAUUGAUUGUGCGGAAAAACGAUAACGUUCAAAAAUAAAUUCUUUUGAAUGAUCUAAAGGAUGUAUUCGAGGUCCAAUAAUUUGUACCCUUUGUAAAGCACGAUGAACAAUGCAG